UGACUCCCUCGGCCAUCGUCGAGACUCGUGAGGCCUCCGAGCAAGCAGCGGAGAGAGAUGGAGAGAGAAAGCCAGAUGCCGCUGCUGUGUUGGCCACCACCACCGACUGGGGCAAGAGAGAAGGAGAGAAGGAAGAUGCCGUGGUGACCGGCAGUACGGAUCUUCUUCACGCGCGAGGUAUUGGGAUGGAUGCACUCGGUUCAUUGGUCGACGACGAGCUUCGAUGCUUGCGUUGUCGUCGGGGGGCGGAGAAGGACCUCGUGGCCACCAGAAUUUCUCACUCAUGCCGCUGCUUCGCCGCGGAACCACUAGCGCCGUGGUCGGAGAAUAUCAGCAUCCUCACCAUUGUGUGAGGUCACGAGUCACCUGAUGAGCAAGUUGGUACCUGGAAUCUCAAGUGCCAGGCAAGUUGUGCCCUUGAUCACUUACUUUUUUCUAGCCAUGUUCUUAUUAAUUAU
rnacentral:misc_RNA from 1 species